UAAAAAAUGCUGGGUUAUUUUCAUAACCCAACUUCUGGGUAAGAGAUGCUGGGUCAUAUGUUGGGUUACUUUGACCCAAUAUUGGAUCAAAAGUAGUGACCCAGCGGUUGGGUUGACUUUUUUUUUUUGUUUUAAUGAACUCCACUUAACUGAUUCUGUUAGGUUUCAGGUUCAGUUGACUCAACACUUUACCCAAUUGGUUGGGUCAAAUACAGUUUGACCCAACCAAUUGGGUAAAAAUCCAUUGCCCUCUUCACAAACCUCCAUUUUCAACUGGACUGUGACCUGAUCAGACAACACUGGAUUUCUCAAUUCAAAUAAAACAUGAUCUGAAAGAUGGAUGAGUUUGUAAAACAGAAGCUGACUGAAUGGAAACUUUCUGACCUAAUCCCUGCUUUUGAAGCUGAAAACAUUGAUGAAGAAAGCUUCUUUCUUUUGGAUGCUAACUGCCUGACAUCCCUGAUUCCUCACCUUGGUCCUCGUCUGAAAUUUCAACGUCAUUUUGCAAAAUUUCUUGAGAACAUCCGUGAGAUCCUCAGUGCCUCCCCUGAAGGUAGACCUGUGGUUAUCAGUCUUGAUGGAAAUCAGCAUAUAUCCAUUCGUGAAAGACGGUGCAUGGUCAGAACACUUGUGUCACACCUGAUGGAUCAAUAUGGAGAAAAGUGAGUAUUUCUUGUAAAAACUGGAUCAAUUAGGUUGUUUUUGUGACAUUUUGCUCUUGGUG